rnacentral:rRNA from 1 species
CCUACGGGCGGCAGCAGUGAGGAAUAUUGGUCAAUGGGCGCGAGCCUGAACCAGCCAAGUAGCGUGAAGGAUGACUGCCCUACGGGUUGUAAACUUCUUUUAUAAAGGAAUAAAGUGAGGCACGUGUGCCUUUUUGUAUGUACUUUAUGAAUAAGGAUCGGCUAACUCCGUGCCAGCAGCCGCGGUAAUACGGAGGGUCCGAGCGUUAUCCGGAUUUAUUGGGUUUAAAGGGAGCGUAGACGGGUUGUUAAGUAAGUUGUGAAAGUUUGCGGCUCAACCAUACAAUUGCAACUGAUACUGGCAGCCUUGAGUACAGUUGAGGUAGGCGGAAUUCGUGGUGUAGCGGUGAAAUGCUUAGAUAUCACGAAGAACUCCGAUUGCGAAGGCAGCUUACUAAACUGCCACUGACAUUGAUGCUCGAAAGUGUGGGUAUCAAACAGGAUUAGAUACCCGAGUAGUC